UGCUCCUCCAACCUGGGCCUGGAAAAGAGAUUGAUCCAGUCAAGUUUGGCUCUUCGUUAAUUCCGAAUCUAAGGAUUGGUUGUUUGUUUCUGCAGGCAACAAUCAAGUGGAAGAAAGAGAAACCUGAACAGCAGCCCAAAUAAACAGAGCAGAAAUACAACCCCAAAAUAAUUCUAUCUUCCGACUGCAUUUUAAAACAGAUAUGAUUAUAAAUAUCGUGACAGCCAGAUUUUAGCCCCAUGCGAGAGGUAGAAGAUGACUUCAUGACCUUAGUACCUGUCCAUCAAUAUGAGGAAGAGUGUAGAAGAACGAGAGAGAGACAGACAAACAUGGGCUGAAUGGAUAGAUGGAGGAUUCGGAGAAACACAGGCCUCUUUUGUGCAGCUUGAUUGAAAUUCUGGGGCUUUUGGAGUCACAGGCCAUUCUAGAGCUGUGGCCAAUUAGGAAGUUGGGAAACCGGGGGUCUGUGUCUGGUUGAGCUAAGGAAGAAGUGCGGUGGGGUUUCUUGUACGGCUCAACGGGGAGAGAAUGCCACGAGAGAGCACUCGAACACAGCUGUGACAUCCUAAAGUAAAGUCCCCUCGGGUUUUUAAUGGGUCAGCGCCACUCAGAAUAAAAUAUUUCCACCAACCGCCAGCUUCAAAAAUGAAAACCCUGGAAAAAAAAAAAAAAUGUGCAGGAGAAAAAGUUGUUUCCAUUGAGCUAACCUGUGUUUGUGUGGACCUUCUGUAGGUGGCAGUAAAACACUCUCACACCAUGGAUGUGUGUGUCCUCUCACACUGUCUAUCACUCUCUCCCAGGCUUGUGUAUGGCUUAUUUAUGAUUAACCAGGGUAAUAAAGACACUCUGUUCUUCUCUCUUAUAUUGAAAAGCACAGAUUGUGAAGGAUGUGAUUGCUUAUACUGUACGCGUAUCCGUAUAUGCAGUGAUCUAUGCUUUGAAAUUGAGAGCAUUAUUAUUGUCAACCAAUAAAUGUGUCUGGAAAUGACUUUGUACAGGAAAUAUGGCUUUGACAUAAGGACAUGUUUGCAGAGAAACUUGUUUGUAGCAUUGCAGUACAAAGUUUUACCUUAU